CCUAUCCUUUUUAUCCUUUUUUCGUUAGCGGUUCCAAAUUCGUUAUCUUUCU
rnacentral:tRNA from 1 species